rnacentral:sRNA from 1 species
CCACGGGCUAACACCCGUGGCUAUGAUAUUACGCCCCGUCGGGGCU